CAAUCGAAGGUCUGUGGUUGAAAGUCCAUGCCAGUCGCAGGCAAAAGGACCCACGUAAGAUAGCAAAAAAAUGAACUAUUGAUCAUGGUGCGGCUUAGAGGUAAGUCCUGCCGGCUCUUAAGUCGAGAGGGGAAGUAGUGAAAGUAACCCUUGAGCAAAACCUCCAGCAGGCGAGUGUGGGGUCAAAGACCAGGUCAGCUUCUGAUG
rnacentral:ncRNA from 21 species